GCGGGGGUCGCCAAGCUUGGUCAACGGCGCUGCGUUCAGGUCGCAGUCCUCAGUGGUUCGCAGGUUCAAAUCCUGCCCUCUGCACCA
rnacentral:tRNA from 1 species